AUGUAUGGGAGCGGUUGGAGGAAGUUCUAUGAUGACAACAAGCUAGGGAAGGGUCAGAUGGUGGUGUUCUUCCUGGAUGAACCUUCGCCUAGGGCAGCUAUUUGUGUGAUCCAAGUGGGCAGCGGCUCCGAAGAUGAACAGCCUAUGGAAGAGGGUGAUCCCAUUGAAGCUUCAAGCGAUGAUGGUGAAGGCAUUGUUCGCAUCAGGGAGCUUCUACUUAAUGAGACAGAGUGUUUUCAGCUACAAGGGUUGCUGCCUCUCAGUGAUGAUUUCAUCGGGUUUCCUUUCGUUCACCGCCUCACAAGGACAGACAAUUGUUUGGGCAUGAUGGCUCAACAUCUUUCUAGAGGCCACCCAACGGCACUGUUCGAAUUGAGACACAGAGAGAAAACGGGAGAGGAAGGAAGCCACAUCACGGGGGUGGGGUUUCCGCGGCGGAACUCGCCGGCGAUGAGAUGCUCGGCGACGCCCGUGAGGAGAUGCUCGGCGAUCCGAGCGCCCCUCCAGAGUCCUCGCGCCCUGCUGAUGAGGGUCUGA
rnacentral:rRNA from 1 species